UUUAUAUCCGAACGUUUCUAUGUUCAAAGUUACCUAUGCCAAGAACAAAAAAUCGGGUAAUACUAAAGUUGAAUGAUUUUUUUCCGAAUCCCCCUCCGUCAACAAAAGGAAACAGAAGUGUGGUUAUAAAUUUAAUCGUUUUGACAAUUGUUUGUCAUAAACUGUCACGAAGUUCAUCACUGACCUGAAGAGAUGCUUCUGCGCCAAAGAUGACUGAUUAAUGUACACAGAGACAUCAAGGUUUACUUUAAGAGUAGCUACCGAAGAGCAGGUAUUAGAAGUCAUUUUCUUAGAGCCCCGUGAAUAAUCGUCGGCACCCAGACCAACAUGUGUUUCACCGAUUGUUACAUCGAGCAAGAGAAGAUGGAUCUUUUCAACCUAAUCGGAAAGGCCGUGCUGGAGCUCCACGGAAUGUACGUGUAGGUGCUGAAGAGCAAGUGUUAGAAAACAUGGAAGCGGAUCCUAGGAGAAGUGUCCUCUACGUAGCGCAAAUGAGUGGAUGCCCAAGAUCGACCACUCAUCGUAUCCUUCAAGAGAGAAGACUGUAUCCUUACCAUUACACGAGAGUGCAGCAUCUGCGACCAACCGACUACCCGCGACGAGUACAUUUUGCUCGAUGGUUACUGCGACAAAAUGAACUAAAUCCUGAUUUUUCACGGCGCAUUCUUUUCACCGACGAAUGCUCAUUUUCCCGAGAAGGAAUGUUUAAUGCACACAAUUGGCAUUUCUGGGCACACGAAAAUCCACAUCUCACUAGGGUGACAGCAUAUCAGGAGCGAUUUACUAUUAAUCUAUGGGCUGGAAUCAUUGGUACUACUGUGGCAAAAAUUUUAAUGCAUUGAUAAAAUAAUCACUAAACUCCGUUCCUGUUUUUUUAGGUGGGGCCGUUUGUGUUACCUGAUCGCCUUAAUGGGGAGGCAUAUGCUAAUUUUCUACGACUAGAGCUUCCGGCGUUGUUGGAAGACGUUCCUUUGAAUGUACGGCGGAAUAUGUGGUUUCAGCACGACGACGCUCCUCCACAUAAUUCGAUACUUGUACGGCGAACAUUGAAAAGAGUAUCCUCAUAGGUGGAUUGGGCGUAGCAGUACUAACAUCUAGCCUCCUAGAUCUCCAGACCUUUCUCCUUUGGACUUUUUUUUUUGGAAUCAAAUUAAAAAUUACGUAUAUACUCGUAGAAAACCCCUAGAUACGUUAGAAGAACUGGAAGAGAGACUGCACGAAACCUACGCUACAGUUACUCCUGAGAUGUUAAAUAAUACACAACACAACAUAAUUCGACGAGCUAGAACUUGCAUUGAAGUUAAUGGUGGUCAUUUUGAGCACAUUGUUUAAUGCUCGUAACGUUACAGUACAACGAUUCCAGCCCAUAGAUUAAUAGUAUUGCUCUUGAUAUGCUCUCAAGUUAGCGAAAUGUGGAUUUUUUCGUUUGCCCAGAAGUGCUAAUUGUGCGCAUUAAAUAUUCUUUUUCGGGAAAAUCAACAUUCGUAGGCGAAAAGAAUAUGCCGUGAAAAAUCAGGAUUUAUUAGUUCAUUUUGUCGCAGUAACCAUUUAGCAACAUGCACCCGUCGCGCAGUCGGCUCGUCGCAGAUGCUGCACUUUCGUCAAUAGUAAGGAUGCAGAUUUUUGUCUGUAAGGAUACGAUGCAUGAUAGAUCUUGAGCAUCCAUUCAUUUGUGCCACUUGUUCUUCACCGUCUACGCGUAUAAUCCGUGGAGCCCCAGCACGGCCUUUCCGAAUAGGCUGAAAAGAUCCAUCUUCUUUUGCUGGAUGCAACAAACGACGAAACACAUGCUGGUCAAGGAGCCGAUGAUUGGGGAAAAUACCUGUAUAUUCGCGCACAGCAGUGGCUGCAUAGCGUGUACAUUCUCCAUAAAUUAACAUCAUUUCCAAAUAUUCUUUAUACUAGUAUGAAUAAGACAUCAAUAACUUAGUGGUAUUGGUACUGAUUUGUUUAUAGUUUGUAUUGUUCUUAAAAAAAAUGCAACUAAACGAUUUUUGUUAUAAUUUUUAUUCGUAUCUUUUCAAUCUCUAGAAAGUACUCACAACUUUAAAGAAACUGUUUUAAAUCAUCAUGUGCAGCAUCAAUAUUAUUCUUGAAUAAGUCUCAGUUUUCAGUAUCUCCCCCGCAUGAUUGACACCACAGCAGAUACCUAUGAUCUUAACACACCAGAGAAGUGGAGUCUCGUCUCUUUUUUCGUUGCUUAGAUUAGGUAUCAGCAACUAAGCUGUUCAGUAAAAAUUGAUACUGUUUAUUGAAAAUCAUAAGCACCGAUUAAUCAAAGGCGAUAUUUAUGUUUUAGUACACUUAAUAACGUUCUUUGAAUGGACAUGUGGUACUCUUUUUUAGAAAUAACGAUAAACUUAAUAUCAGGCAUAUGAUGCAUAGUGAAUUCUGAAAAUGUACUAAUUUUCGUUUAAAAGAACAA